rnacentral:rRNA from 1 species
UACAGAGGGUGCGAGCGUUAAUCGGAAUUACUGGGCGUAAAGAGCGCGUAGGCGGUUUUAUAAGUCAGAUGUGAAAGACCCGGGCUUAACCUGGGAAUUGCAUUUGAUACUGUAAGACUAGAGUAUGGUAGAGGAAAGUGGAAUUUCCGGUGUAGCGGUGAAAUGCGUAGAUACCGGAAGGAACACCAGUGGCGAAGGCGACUUUCUGGACCAAUACUGACGCUGAGGCGCGAAAGCGUGGGGAGCAAACAGG